rnacentral:rRNA from 1 species
CACGUAGGGGACGAGCGUUGUCCGGAUUCAUUGGGCGUAAAGCGCGCGUAGGCGGCUCGGAAAGUCGGUCGUGAAAUGCCGGGGCUCAACCCCGGGACUGCGUCCGAUACUCCCGAGCUGGAGGCAGGUAGGGGAGAUCGGAAUUCCUGGUGUAGCGGUGAAAUGCGCAGAUAUCAGGAGGAACACCGGUGGCGAAGGCGGAUCUCUGGGCCUUACCUGACGCUCAGGCGCGAAAGCUAGGGGAGCGAACUGG